rnacentral:rRNA from 1 species
AGAGAUGUGUGAUGACGCAUAUCAAUAAGCGGAGGAAAAGAAACUAACAAGGAUUCCCUUAGUAACGGCGAGUGAAGCGGGAAGAGCUCAAAUUUGAAAUCUUCAAGGUUCUACCUUGACGAAUUGUAGUUUAUAGAAGUGUUUUCUGUUAGUAGAGUGGCAAAAGUUCUUUGGAAUAGGACAUCAUAGAGGGUGAGAAUCCCGUAUUUGGUCAUUCUUUCUAGCUUUGUGAUACACUUUCAACGAGUCGGAUUGUUUGGGAAUGCAGUCCAAAAUGGGUGGUAAAUUUCAUCUAAAGCUAAAUAUUGGCGAGAGACCGAUAGCGAACAAGUACCGUGAGGGAAAGAUGAAAAGAACUUUGAAAAGAGAGUUAAACAGUACGUGAAAUUGUCAAAAGGGAAGCGUUUGACACCAGUGUUGUUUUUCCGAAAAUCAAUUACGAAUGUUUUGUUUUUGAGAAGUUAUGACUUCAUCGGCUUGCUUCUCUCUUUACGAAACUUUCUUAAUGCACUUUUCGGUUAACAAGUCAACAUCAAUUUCUUUUGUUGUAAAAGGGUAUGAGGAAGGUGGCUUUCUUUUCGGAGAAAGUGUUUAUAGCCUUGUACCUCUGCAAUCGGAGAGAUUGAGGUCUGCAGCGUAGAUCCUUCGGGGUUAGAUACAUUUGUGCUAAGUUAUAGCUUUUCAUAGACAACUUGUUGACUAUGUUAAGUCUUGUAGCUUACUCGCUUAUGCUAUUUUACCUACGCUUAGGAUGUUGAUAGUCACAGCGUGUAC